ensembl:lncRNA
GUGGUGAUUCGAGUCUGUGCCCAUGAUUAGCACUGCUGUUCUUUUUCACUCAACAUGGAUUCUUGCUCCAAGCUAGUGAUUCUCUCCUCUGGCUGCACAUAAGAAUCACCUAAGGAGCUCUUACAGAAUCCUGAUGCCCAGGGCUGCUCUGGGAGACUCUGAUUUAAUUGGUUGGGGGUGGGACCUGGGCACUGAUAAUUUUUACAAGCUCUCCAGGUGAUUCUAAUGUGCAGCCAGGGUUGAGAAGCAAUAUUCUAAGACAGCAGUGGGAGGGGUACAUAGGGAAGACUGGCUUGUAGAACCUCUUUUGAUGGUUUAAUGGUAACAAGCUUGCUAAUGAUGUUUACCAUGUAAGAAAGGGGGCCAGAUGUCUGGAUUAGCUGGAGAACUAAUUGAUUUCCUUGCAAAACAGGGUAACAUUUAGUAUUGACAGGGUGUGAUCCUAGAAUCUCUCAGAAGGGCUGUAAGAAAAUCUCAGCAUUCCCCUGAGGUUGGGGGGUGAAAAAUAUUUAUAUAGAUUAACAUCAUUUAAAAACAUUUUUAAAGAAAGGAAACCACAAGAGAGCAGAAAGAUUUGAGUUUCCCCUUAGGGGAAAAAGCAAUUCCUGCUAUUCCAGAAGAACCUCGAGAGGCAGCCAGUCUGCCCUCCCACGUGCCCUUCUCCCAGGGUUUCUUGGCAGAAGCCAUCAUGGGAGGUUGACUGGAGGAUGCCUGCGCAGUAGAACUUUCCCCAGGGAGGAAGGAUGAACGAGGAGCCCCUCCUAUCCUCAGUGCCUGCAACUCUCUCCAGACCCAAGACCCCAGAAAGGAGAGAAAGGAAAGGAGACAAUGGACACCUGGUACCCUACUGUGCAGCUCAAAAGAAACUUGGAAAAUACAGACUGUCCAACACAUUCAAUUCUGUUGGUGCUAAAGUUCCCUGACUCCCCAUAGAUAAGAUUGCUCAGCUGUCUUCUCAGAACUGUGUCAAGGUUUAAAUUUGUUCUCUAUUUGCUAUGUGAAACAGAUGGCCACUCUUCGUAUGCAGUCCCUCCUAUCUUCUCAAAAUAGUCUUGUAUUUAAGCCCAGUAACUUUAGUCUAGCCUUGGUAUCUUCUAAUACUUUGGUUUUAAAAUAUUUUCUU